UCAUGUUUAAUGAGCUCCCUGAGCAAGUGUCUGGGUCCACCCCUGGAGCAGGCAGAGAGAGCACAGCAGGAGCAAAGGCCUGAGGUGGAACCCUGCAAAGCAGUCUCAGCUAAGAGGAAGAGGCAGGAGUCAAGACCGUGCCCAGGCCUGAAGAAAGACCAGGCUGGUCUUCAGACUUCAGGUUGGUAGAAGAAGAGUGGAUCUGCAGAGAUCAGUGCCCUGGGAAGAAGCCAAGGCCUGGUGGGAGAGGUCCCAUCUCAGCACAUUCUCUUCUGUGCAAUGCAGAGGAAAUAAUUAACCUUGGGCCACAACAGCUGCCAGAAGAACCCUUCAGGAAUUCAAGCCCUCCCUGAAUAACAUGUGGGCCACCACUCCCACUGUGCAGCCCGGUGGGAGAAGGGAGUUGCACUAGGCCUUCUCUUCUCGGGAGAUAUGCUGACAUGCGGUCACAUGCACACCAGCCCUCUCGGCUUCCUGGGACAGCAUCCUGGGCACUCAAGAGCAUGGGCUCCUGGCUUCCUUCUCCCUAGGAUAAUCCCUUCUUAUUGAGGCUCCUUAGCCCCUCACAGAUCCUGACUCAGCUCACAGUGGCAUGAGGAGAAACAAGGGGAAGGCCUCAGCUCCAAUGUCACUGCUUCAAAGAAGACUUCAUUGACCACCAUGACUAAAGUAGCCUCUCGGCCUCAUCACUUCAAACCUCAUCACCCCGAUUUGUUUUCUUCACAGCUCUUCUCUCCCUCUGAUAUAUUAACUCAUUUGUUGUCUGUCCCUACUUUGGCUAGAGCAUAAACUCCUGGACAGCACGGACCUUGCCACUGUGUCCCCAGCAUCCAGAGUGAGGCCAGGAACAUACAGAGUGCCCAUUCCCUGCCUGAUGUCCACUUUCAGUGGCCACGGAAUAUCUCAGGGCCUGCGUGAACGCCCUUCAACCCUCUCCCUCCCAUUGACGGGCUGUGUAGUCCACUUAGCCCUAUUAAACCAGCCACUGCUCAACAUAUCAGGCGCAGAUCUUUUCCUGCUUGAGCAACUAUUUAUUUGGCAUGAAGUUCUCAAAGAGGAAUGAUAGGGUGAGAGGGAGGUUUGCUCUUGACAACUUGAUACAUACUGACAACACUACGGUAAACCACUCCAGCCAAUUUCUACUCUUGAGAUUAUUUACUAACACAUUGUGUUCAUCACCACCAAUCUCAGAAGCGCACACAUACACACACAAAAAGCACAUCUCAGCUGGGCAUGGUGGGUGCACACCUGUGACCCCAGCACUCUGAGAGGCUGAGGCAGGAGAAUUGUUGAGAGUUUGAGGCCAGCCUGGGCUACAUAGUGAGUUCAAGACCAGCCUGAACUACAUAGUGAG
rnacentral:lncRNA from 1 species